GAGGUCUAUUCAGCAACACACAUACUAAAAUUGGAAAGAUACAGAGAAGAUUAGCAUGGCCUCUGUGCAAGGAUGACACCCCAAUUUGUGAAGCAUUCCAAAGGUCU
ensembl:snRNA U6 U6 spliceosomal RNA